rnacentral:lncRNA from 1 species
UUAUUUGUAACAUGAAUCAUUUUUAUUUGUCUCAAUGUUUUUUCAUUCUUAAUUUAAUUUUCUAAAAUGAGCAUUAUAGUUUUUGUUAAGAAAAAAAAUAAUUACAAUUAAUAAAAAUAAACUCAAUAACAACGACAAAACUAACAACCCAAUUUAAAAUGACCAAAUGACUCAAAUAGGUAUUUCUCUGAAGAAGAUACACAAAUGGCCAAUAAACACAUGAAAGUGUGUUUAGUGUCACUAGUCACUAGCAAAAUGCAAAGCAAAACCACAGGAAGAUAUCCCUUCUCACCCAUUAGGAUGGCUACUAUGAAAAUCAAUAAAUAAACAAAUAACAAGUGUUGGUGAGUGUGGUAGUCCAUCAUUGCAUUGCUAUAAAGAAAUACCUGAGGCUGGGUAACUUAUAAAGAAAAGAGGUUUAAUUGGCUUGUGCUUCUACAGGCUGUACAGGAAGCAUACCUGCUCUUCUGCCUCUAGGAAGCCUUGAGGAGCUUACAGUCAUGAAAGAAGGCAAAGGGGGAGCAGACAUCUCACAUGGUGGGAGGGAGAGCAAGACAGAGAGAGUAGAGGGGAAGUGCCAUAUACUUAAACAACCAGAUCUUGUGAGAACUCACUCAGUAUCUUGAUGACAGCACCAAGCCAUGAGGGAUGGAUGCAUUCAAAAGGGGUAGAGACUGAAGGCGAAUGGCUACCCAUCUAGAAAGAGGGGGGCAGGCA